GGAGAGGUGGCUGAGUGGUCGAAAGCGGCGGAUUGCUAAUCCGUUAAGGAUGUCAACAUCCUUCGAGGGUUCAAAUCCCUCCCUCUCCG
rnacentral:tRNA from 1 species